GCCAGCCUGACAGAGUGGUUUGAGGGCUGGACUGUGAUUCUGGAGACCUGGGUUCGAUUCCCAACUCGGUCA